UACGAAGGGGGCGAGCGUUGUUCGGAAUUACUGGGCGUAAAGGGCGCGUAGGCGGCGCACCAAGUCAGGCGUGAAAGCCCCGGGCUCAACCCGGGAACGGCGCUUGGGACUGGUGCGCUCGAGUUCGGGAGAGGAUGGCGGAAUUCCCAGUGUAGAGGUGAAAUUCGUAGAUAUUGGGAAGAACACCGACGGCGCAGGCAGCCAUCUGGACCGACACUGACGCUGAGGCGCGACAGCGUGGGGAGCAAACAGG
rnacentral:rRNA from 1 species